rnacentral:rRNA from 1 species
CGUAGGUGGCAAGCGUUGUCCGGAUUUAUUGGGUUUAAAGGGUGCGUAGGCGGCCUGUUAAGUCAGGGGUGAAAGACGGUAGCUCAACUAUCGCAGUGCCCUUGAUACUGAUGGGCUUGAAUGUACUAGAGGUAGGCGGAAUGUGACAAGUAGCGGUGAAAUGCAUAGAUAUGUCACAGAACACCAAUUGCGAAGGCAGCUUACUAUGGUAUUAUUGACGCUGAGGCACGAAAGCGUGGGGAUCAAACAGGAUUAGAUACCCUGGUAGUCCACGCCCUAAACGAUGAAUACUCGAUGUUAGCGAUAUACAGUUAGCGUCAAAGCGAAAGCGUUAAGUAUUCCACCUGGGGAGUACGCCCGCAAGGGUG